rnacentral:rRNA from 1 species
CAAUAGCGUAUAUUAAAGUUGUUGCAGUUAAAAGCUCGUAGUUGAACUUCGGAACCGGUCGAUUGGUCCGUCCUCUGGAUUGUGUACUGAUCGAUCUGUUCUUCUUCGCGAAGACCGCGUGUGCCCUUAACUGGGUGUGCACGGGAUUCACGACGUUUACUUUGAAAAAUUUAGAGUGUUCAAAGCAGGCAUUCGCUUGAAUAUCUCAGCAUGGAAUAAUAGAAUAGGACUUUGGUCUUAUUUUGUUGGUUUCUAGAGCUGAGGUAAUGAUUAAUAGGGAUAGUUGGGGGCGAUUCGUAUUUAACUUGUCAGAGGUGAAAUUCUUGGAUUUGUUUAAAGACGGACUACUGCGAAAGCAUUUGCCAAGGAUGUUUUC